UUUUUUAUCUUAUUUUACUCUACAGCACUUUGGCCAACCAAGGUUGAUUUUAAAUGUGCUUUAUAAAUAAAACUCGAUUUGAUUUUGAUUUGAUUUGUGUCCUCUUUUGGAAGACCAAACAAAGUAGCUUCGCAUUCUCAUCGAAACAGCGUUACAACAUCGCAGCCUUGAGUGACCAGAGGCAGGCAGCUUGAGAACAGCACGGACAACGGAUUCGACGAAGGAGCUUGCAGUAACCACAUGUGAUGAUCCCGGGCUGGACUCCGCUUCAUCCACGGUGAAAGCCGAUUCUGUGAUCCACAGUGCAAAGUUGAUGUAUUCCCUCAGCGAAACACAGCGUCUUAACGACAUAGUGGUGGCGGCAACAACAAUACUUCAACGAGAAUACAAGUUGUGUUUGGUGAUACAGACACAGUGAAGUCAGUGUCAGUGAAGGAGGGAGAUUCUGUCACUCUACAGAUUAAUGUCACUGAAAUACAGACACGUGAUAAGAUUGAGUGGACAUUCGGAACUGAGAGAAGUCGUAUAGCUAAAAUUAGGGCAAAGACCAGUAAGAUAUUUGAUGGUCCUGAUGGGAGAUUCAGAGACAGACUGAAGCUGGAUCAUCAGACUGGAUCUCUGAUCAUCACAGACACCAGAACCACAGACUCUGGACUUUAUGAAUACAAUAUCAGCAGCAGCAGAUCAGAGGAUACACACAGAUUCAGUGUUACUGUGAAUGGUUCAGAUCUUCACUCAGCUGUUCCAGGUUCAGAUCUUCACUCAGGUUCAGGUGUGUCUCCAGCUGCUGAAGCAGGGAUUGGUGUUGGUGUUAUUGUUCUGCUGCAGCUGCUGCUGCUGUGAUUAACCAUCAGAGAAAGAUCUCUGAACUAAAAAGACAAAAAGAGAAUGGACAAAACCAUAAGAACCAGGACACAGAUGAUCCUGCUAAUGAAGAGACUAAACUAAACGAUCCCUGAAACAGAGAACAGCAGUAGUUUAUAGUCACUAUACAGUAACAAUUCACACAUGGAGAGUGACUGAAGUCAAGCCAUUUUUGCUUUUGCAAUAUAUAAACUAAUGAGUGAAGACUUUCAUUUUUGACAAAUAGAGAAGCAUGCUUUGAUUUAUGAUGACGUUGAUGUAACAGUUUGCUGUUUGCGCUGAUGCUGAUAUUGCACUGAUGAUAUUAUAUUCUUUUGUACUAAAAGCUAGUUCAAUUGAUUUACAGUAAUGCAGGAUGUUACACUGUGAGAUGACUUGAUUGUUGUGACACCUGCAAGAUUGUGCAGAAGUAAUCUCAAGCUAAUUAACGUAGGCCUAUAUAUGCUUAUAUUCUCUAUAUAAUCGUGUAUGUGACCAAUAAAAAAAAAAAAAAACUUGAAUUCUUUUUUGCUUGUUUGUUUCUAUUUGAUGCUCUUGCGCUGUUACAUGGCACAUAUUUGUGCUUUAUUGAAGUGUUCAUGCUUAAAUAGUUUGUAUUGUGAAUAUAGACUGCAUUAUAUUCUGUUUUUUUUCCAUCUCUCUCUAUCACCUGAUAAGCUGUGCGUGUGAUAUCUGAACUGAUCUGAAUUCAGUGUUUUUCUGAAAACUGUGUUCAUACAGGACUUACAGAUGAUCUUACUGUCUAACAUUUCAUUCCUUCAGCUUUUGCUCGUUAAUAAACCAGUUAUAACAGGAAACACAUCACAGUUUUAUCAGUGUUAGUUUAAGAAAAUAAAAUG